GAGUUUGAUCAUGGCUCAGGAUGAACGCUGGCGGUAUGCCUAACACAUGCAAGUCGAACGAUGUCUUCGGACAUAGUGGCGGACGGGUGAGUAACGCGUGAGAAUCUGCCUCUAGGAUGGGGAUAACGGUUGGAAACGACCGCUAACACCCAAUAUGCCGUAAGGUGAAAAAUUUAUUGCCUGGAGAGGAGCUCGCGUCUGAUUAGCUAGUUGGUGGGGUAAGAGCUCACCAAGGCCUCGAUCAGUAGCUGGUCUGAGAGGAUGAGCAGCCACACUGGGACUGAGACACGGCCCAGACUCCUACGGGAGGCAGCAGUGGGGAAUUUUCCGCAAUGGGCGAAAGCCUGACGGAGCAAUACCGCGUGAGGGAGGAAUGCCUUUGGGUUGUAAACCUCUUUUCUCAGGGAAGAAGAUCUGACGGUACCUGAGGAAUAAGUAUCGGCUAACUCCGUGCCAGCAGCCGCGGUAAUACGGAGGAUGCAAGCGUUAUCCGGAAUCAUUGGGCGUAAAGCGUCCGCAGGUGGUUUCCAAAGUCUGCUGUUAAAGACUGGAGCUCAACUCCGGAACGGCGGUGGAAACUUGGAAACUAGAGUUCGGUAGGGGUAGCAGGAAUUCCCAGUGUAGCGGUGAAAUGCGUAGAUAUUGGGAAGAACAUCGGUGGCGAAGGCGUGCUACUGGACCGUAACUGACACUCAGGGACGAAAGCUAGGGGAGCGAAAGGGAUUAGAUACCCCUGUAGUCCUAGCUGUAAACGAUGGAAACUAGGUGUGGCUUGUAUCGACCCGAGCCGUGCCGUANCUNACGCGUUAAGUUUCCCGCCUGGGGAGUACGCACGCAAGUGUGAAACUCAAAGGAAUUGA
rnacentral:rRNA from 1 species